rnacentral:lncRNA from 1 species
UAUAGUCACAGCUCCUUGGGAGGCUGAGGUGGGAGGAUCACUUGAGGCCAGGAAUUCGAAGCUGCAGUGAGCUGAGAUCAUACCACUGGACUCUAGCCUGGGUGUCUCCAAAAAAAAAAAAAAAAAAAAAUACAGAAAAGUACAAUCCCAGAGGGCACACGUGGUGCCCCCUGGAGACAGAGAGUUUACAGUUUUUAGGGAACCCCAGGCAGGAGGUGCAUUCAUAAGAGGUUCAGGGGCCCCAGUGUGGUGUUCCAGCCUGGGCCUCCAGCCCUAAAGUUGCCAGACCAGUCCAAACGGAUCUGCUCAGUCCUUGCUGUCAGAGGGAAUGCCCAAGGCAGUCAAUUCCAGAUGGGUUUUGCAUGUCCAUGACAACAGUGUCUCUGCCUGAGGAGUGUGGACAGCAACCCCAGCUGGGCGUUCUGGUGGAAUAUCCAGGAGCUGGGCCACCCCAGGUGGCAGCUUAUAUAUCAAGAAAAGAAGCGGGGCACGAUUGCUCAUGCCUGUAAUGCUAGCACUUUGGGAGGCCGAGGAGGCCGGAUCACCUGAGGUUGGGAGUUUGAGACCAGCCUGGCCAACAGAGUGAAACCCCGACUCUACUAAAAAAAUACAAAAAUUAGCCAGACGUGGAGGCGCGGGCCUGUAGUCCUAGGUACUUGGGAGGCUGAGGCAGGACAAUUGCUUGAACCUGGGAGGUAGAGGUUGCAGUGAGUCAAGAUGGCGCUACUGCACUCCAGCCUGGGCAACAGAGUGAGACCCUGUCUCAAAACAAACAAACAAACAAACAAACGAACAAACAAACAACAGAAAUCCUAAAUUUUCAAAAUGUUUUUCUAUAACCUCUUUCCCGAUCAUCAUCCAAUGAACUUCCUGCAAAAGCUCAAUCCCUUUCUGGGGACCGCUGCAUCAGUAAUCAAACUGCCUUCCUAAGGUGUGUGUUGUAGCAGGAGAGAAGUGGGGAAGUAGAGUCAGGCUACAGGCCACAGUUGCAACCUACAACUAAUCCAGAAAGUUGAGCACAAGGCAACAGAAAUGAGGCGUCUCCCAAGUGUCCAACCUGUCAGAAGCAGCCAGAGGGGUCACAGUCCCUGAGAGGUGCCCUCCUUGAACUUACAGCUUUUGGCAGGAAUCACAGGUUAGAAAUACAUUCGAUGGCCAGGCGCGGUGGCUCAUGCCUGCAAUCCCAG